rnacentral:rRNA from 1 species
GGCGAACGGCUGAGGAACACGUACGAACCUGCCCGCUCGUGGGGAAUAACGCGCGGAAACGCGUGCUAAUACCGCGUACGCUGACUUCGGGUCAGGAAAGCCUUCGAGCGCGGGCGGCGGGGCGUGCGGCCCAUCAGGUGGUUGGCGGGGUAAUGGCCCACCAAGCCUUUGACGGGUAGCUGGUCUGUGAGGAUGAUCAGCCAGACUGGGACUGAGACACGGCCCAGACACCUACGGGUGGCAGCAGCGAGGAAUCUUCCACAAUGGGCGCAAGCCCGAUGGAGCAACGCCGCGUGGAGGACGACGGCCUUCGGGUUGUAAACUCCUUUCGGGGGGGAUGAACCGGACAGUACCCCCAGGAGCAGCCCCGGCUAACUCUGUGCCAGCAGCCGCGGUAAUACAGAGGGGGCAAGCGUUGUCCGGAAUUACUGGGCGUACAGCGCGCGCAGGCGGGGCGUGACGUGCCGUGUGACAGGCGCCGGCUUAACCGGCGUAGGCCAUGGUAGACGCACCGUCUGGAGGCAGGGAGAGGGAUGUGGAAUGCCCGGUGGAGCGGUGAAAUGCGUAGAGAUCGGGCGGAACACCAGCGGCGAAGGCGGCAUCCUGGCCCUGACCUGACGCUGAGGCGCGAGAGCGUGGGGAGCAAACCGGAUUAGAUACCCGGGUAGUC